rnacentral:misc_RNA from 1 species
GUGAAUCAUCAAAUUUUUGAACGCAAAUUGCACUCUCUUCGGAGAGUAUGCCUGUUUGAGGGUCAGCCUAUAAAAAUAGACAUAGUUGCUGUUUUGCGGUGUGGCAUGUCGGAAAAUGUGUGAUAUUAUAUACUUUUGAUUUAUGAGACUUUUAAAUUUUUUUUGGUUAUUUGAACGUUUUUAAUAUUU